rnacentral:rRNA from 1 species
ACGGAAGGCAGCAGUGGGGAAUAUUGCACAAUGGGGGGAACCCUGAUGCAGCAACGCCGCGUGAGUGAUGAAGUAUUUCGGUAUGUAAAGCUCUAUCAGCAGGGAAGAAAAUGACGGUACCUGACUAAGAAGCCCCGGCUAACUACGUGCCAGCAGCCGCGGUAAUACGUAGGGGGCAAGCGUUAUCCGGAUUUACUGGGUGUAAAGGGUGCGUAGACGGCUGUGUAAGUCAGAAGUGAAAUCCCAGGGCUCAACCCUGGUGCUGCUUUUGAAACUGUACGGCUAGAGUGCUGGAGGGGCAAGCGGAAUUCCUGGUGUAGCGGUGAAAUGCGUAGAUAUCAGGAGGAACACCGGUGGCGAAGGCGGCUUGCUGGACAGUAACUGACGUUGAGGCACGAAAGCGUGGGGAGCAAACAGGAUUAGAUACCCUGGUA